rnacentral:rRNA from 1 species
GAUGAACGCUGGCGGCGUGCCUAAUACAUGCAAGUCGAGCGAACAGACGAGGAGCUUGCUCCUCUGACGUUAGCGGCGGACGGGUGAGUAACACGUGGAUAACCUACCUAUAAGACUGGGAUAACUUCGGGAAACCGGAGCUAAUACCGGAUAACAUGUUGAACCGCAUGGUUCAACAGUGAAAGACGGUCUUGCUGUCACUUAUAGAUGGAUCCGCGCCGCAUUAGCUAGUUGGUAAGGUAACGGCUUACCAAGGCAACGAUGCGUAGCCGACCUGAGGGGGUGAUCCGCCACAGGGGAAAGAGGAUGCGGACCCACCCCGGGGGGGAGACAGGGGGAGGAAUUCUUCCGGAAGGGGCAAAGGCCAAUCGGGGACACCGGGGGGGAGCGAAAAAGGUCUACGGCUCGUAAAACCUUUUUGUUUGGGAAAAAAAAAGGUGUAAUAACCGGGACCCUAUUGACCGGACCCGAAGAAGAAGCCCCGGCUAACUCCGGG